UGUUCCGCUCCUCACUACUGCUGUGGUUGUUUCAGACGUGUCACCGGUGCCAUGGCUGUGGUAGGACGCGCUGCACACACUGUGCAGGGAGGGGAAAUAGGCGAUGUCCGUUCUGCCACGGACAUGGGCGCAGGACAACAGGACAUGGACGUAACAACAGGGCCGGUAACAACAGAUGUUCCAGCUGCCAGGGGAGGGGAAGGAAGAGAUGCACGUUCUGCCAUGGACACGGACACAAGACCUGCCCCACCUGCCAGGGCAACAGAAACCUGAUGCACUUCAUUCAGCUCACCAUCACAUGGUACUGAACUGGGCCCGGUUUCCCCGAUGGAACCUAAGCCUACAAGUGUUUUUAACACUGCGUCGGUCCUUCAAUAACGGCCCGAAGAUGUCACAAUGCGUCGGUCCUUUAAUAACAAAAUACAUUAAUGCACGAUGGCGCAGGAUGGCGCACGGGCGCCAUCGUGCAUACAUUUAUUUUGUCCCCCCACACCAAACGCGAU